rnacentral:rRNA from 1 species
UACGUAGGGGGCAAGCGUUGUCCGGAAUCAUUGGGCGUAAAGAGCGCGUAGGCGGUCCGGUAAGUCCGCUCUGAAAGUCCGGGGCUCAACCCCGGGAGGCGGGCGGAUACUGUCGGGCUAGAGUCCGGAAGAGGCGAGUGGAAUUCCUGGUGUAGCGGUGAAAUGCGCAGAUAUCAGGAGGAACACCAAUGGCGAAAGCAGGUACCUGGACUAUUACUGACACUCAGCUGCGAAAGCUAGGGGAGCAAACAGG